rnacentral:rRNA from 1 species
GGAGUUAGCCGGUGCUUCUUCUGUGAGUGAUGUCCUUCCUGCCGGCUAUUAACCCGCAGGCCUUCUUCCUCACUGAAAGUGCUUUACAACCCGAAGGCCUUCUUCACACACGCGGCAUGGCUGGAUCAGGGUUGCCCCCAUUGUCCAAUAUUCCCCACUGCUGCCUCCCGUAGGAGUCUGGGCCGUGUCUCAGUCCCAGUGUGGCUGAUCAUCCUCUCAGACCAGCUACGGAUCGUCGCCUUGGUGAGCCGUUACCUCACCAACCAGCUAAUCCGACAUAGGCUCAUCCGAUAGCGCGAGGCCCGAAGGUCCCCCGCUUUCCCCCGUAGGGCGUAUGCGGUAUUAGCCUGGGUUUCCCCAGGUUAUCCCCCACUACCGGGCAGAUUCCUAUGCAUUACUCACCCGUCCGCCGCUCGCCACCAGGGAGCAAGCUCCCCGUGCUGCCGCUCGACUUGCAUGUGUUAGCGUCGCCGCCACGCGUUCAUCUGAGCCACUAAUACAACUACUCGA